GUCAGGAUAGCUCAGUUGGUAGAGCA
rnacentral:tRNA from 9 species